rnacentral:rRNA from 1 species
CACGGGGGGAGCAAGCGUUGUUCGGAAUCACUGGGCGUAAAGGGCGUGUAGGCGGUCAAGUAAGUGGAAUGUGAAAGCCCCCGGCUUACCCGGGGAUCUGCAUCCCAAACUGCUUGGCUUGAGUACGGGAGAGGAUAGGGGAAUUCCUGGUGUAGCGGUGAAAUGCGUAGAUAUCAGGAGGAACACCGGUGGCGAAGGCGGCUCUCUGGACCACAACUGACGCUGAGGCGCGAAAGCUAGGGGAGCAAACGGG